rnacentral:lncRNA from 1 species
AGCUUUGCGAGAAAUCCCAAUUAAACUCAUCGCGUACUCCACUAAAUUUGUUGGUGCGUUUUGUCUAGCUUUUCACCUUUUUAAGGCAUAUGCAAAAAUCUCAACUCGAUAAUUCCCCCGUAAACCAUAUUUCAAAAUCGUAAUCCCUAUAUUCUUGCUGCAUCGGUGAAUUAAUGAGCACAAACCUUUGUUUCAUUAUCCUCAUCAUAUUGUAUUAAACCAAAAAGCCACAAUACAAUCAUCAAUAGAAAACAACAAAGAAUGAAAAAUAAUAAAUAAAACACCGUCGAUAGAUUCUCUAAACCCAUAUUUGAACUUUAUUUCUUUUUGUGAUGAGGGAGGCACGAAGGAGGUGGCACCUUGUGAGCAACAGUGUCUUGAGGAGGGCUAGAGAGAAGGGAAGGAACUAGAAGUCUCUCAUUAGUACCAAGAGACACACCUCAUAUUAAGAAGGAAAAAAUAUUAAAAAAAUUCCUGGCGGUUUCUUAUCCCCCAGAAAAUGCACCAUUAUAAAAACAUAAUAGUGUAUCAUCACUUGACAACACGAUUUAUUGAAAGGAUUAAAUAUGUGUGACCGUGUAUGCAAAUCAAUGUUGCCUAGUCUAACAAUGCUUAACAUAUUUCAAGCUAAAUUUUUAUUGAUCAUUGCAAUAUAAAGGAUUUCAAUCUGAAGUUCCCGCAAAUAAAUAUAGGGGUUGUUUCCCAAGAACCACCACUCUUUGUAGGCACCAUCAACAAUAACCGUCAGCAUUAUUUUCUUUAACAAUAAUUUCAAACCAAAGAAGUAAAAUAUUUUUUUUCUUCCUCUUUCAUAUAUGUUCACAAACACAUGGUGCUGAUCAUCACCUACCUCAACCCCAAACAAAAAUAAAAUUUUCACACAGAAAUAGGAUCCAAGCCCUCUCCCACAUCUCCAAUAGUGGAAGAAAAAUUAUUUAAAAUUCAAAUCCAAAUAACAUGACAACAAGAGCAAAGCACAAAUAACAAAUUAACGAAAUAAAAAAAAACCCUAUAUAAUGGAGAUGAGAACCAACCUUGUAUGAAGAGGGUGCGCAAUCUGAAUCAAGAGAGAACGAAGGUCGUAUCCACCGUGAGAGUCUGCGAUCUGAACAAGGUCAUAGCCA